CCGUUGCCUGGUAGGGGUUGGUGUGGUGAGGGCGUGUGCUUUACUCUUUGUGAGGAAAGCAAGGUCGUCAGCGGAAAGAGGCCCAAAGGGAGGCCAGGACUGGGAAAGGACUUCAGUAGGGCUGAGUGUGGAGGUGAAGGGCGGACCCACCUUCACUGGCGGCGGCAGGGGCGGCGGAGUCCGUGAGGCGGGGGUCAGCUAGGCCGCGGCGGCCAUGGCAGUGGACUUCGGGGACCACGCCAGCGGGUUCCGUCACGCCGAGGUGGUCAGGUUCAUCAACAACGAAGUCCUCCUGAACGGCGGCGGCCCGGAGUUCUACGCGGCCUUGCGCUCACGGCCGUGGAGUGAGGUGGAGGACCGGCUUCGGGGGGUCCUGGCCGACCCGCGGGUGCCGCGCGCCCACCAGAGAGCCUGCGCCUGGAGCGCGCUGGCCUUGGGCGUGCGCGGGGCCGCAAGGCAGCGGGAGCAGCAGGGGCGCCGGAUCCGGAGGCUGCAGGAACAGAUGGAGGAGCGGGAGACCGCCGCCUGGGCCCUGGCCUCCGAGCUACAGCGGAUGCGUGAGGCUCGAGAGGACGUGGCCACACAGUUGCGCUUCACACGCAUCACCCUGCAGCAGGCGCUCAUGGAGUGUGAUGUGCUUCGCGGGCGGCUGCUCCAGGCGGAGAGGUCGGCCCAGUGCAUCCCACUGGCCCAUGAAAUAGUAACUGGACCUCAAGCCGAGCAGCUUGGUGCUAUGGCAUGGCCCCUGAAUGCAGAGCCACAGAGAGAUAUGGUUGCCAUGGGAUUGCCUGGGAGGCGAUAUUUUGAGGCCCAGGUACCAGCCCCAGCUGUUCUCUACAUGCCAGGACCCCCAAGUCCCUGGGCUCAGACCAUACAAACCCCUCUGCCAAUGCUGGUGCCAUACCCAAUCCCAUUCCAUGCACCACUCCCAAUGGGGGUCCCUUUCUUGCCACCUCUGCCAUCAGCAUUAGCCAUGGAUGCAGAAGCUACAGUAGUCCCACUUCAGUUGCCUCCUCUGGGGAUCUACCCACCUGUUCCGUGUGCUACAGUGGGUUUCCAGGAAGAAGUGGCCCCGCUGUGGAACCAAAGAAGUUACAGCCAGGAGGGAGGUCCUCCGAUCCUCCAGAGUACAGUCUCCCUGGGGAACAUCGGAAACCUUAGCCAGGAAGGUCUAGAGAGGCCUCAGGGGAUGGUUCCCCUUGGGGAUAGCUGGACCCACAGCCAUGAAGGAGAUCCACAGAGGCACCAGGGGGAGGUACCACUCAGAGAUAGCUGGACCCAGAGUCAGGAAGAAGGUCAAGAGAAUCCCCAGUGGGUCGUCCCCCUUGGGGAUAGCUGGAACCUCGACCAAGAUGAAGGUUCAGAGAGAUCCCAGGAGGUGGUUACCCUUGGUCCCACCCUGGAAGAAGAUCAGGAGAGUCCCCAGGAGAUGGUACACCUAGGGGCCAGUGGGAGUCACAGGCAGGAAGAAAGUCCAAAAAGACCUCAAGGUAUGGCCCCCCUUGAUGCCAGCAGGAGCAACAGCCAGGAAAAAGAUCCAGAGAGGGCCCAGGAAAUGGUACCCCUGGGGGCCAGUGGGGGCCCCAGGCAGAAAGAAAGUCGAAAAAGAUCCCAAAGGAUGGCCCCCCUCGAUGCCAGCAAGAGAAACAGCCAGGGAGAAGAUCUAGAGGGGCUCAAGGAAAUGGUACCCCUGGCGGCCAGUGGGAGCCCCAGCAAAGGAGGUCCAGGAACACCCCAAGGCAUGGCUCCUUUAGGGGACAACAGUAGCCAAAGCCAGGAGGAAGAUCUGGAGAGGCCCCAGGGGACAGGUCCCCUGGGGGACAGCAGAAGUGAGAGCCAAGUAAAAGGUCAAAAGAGGCCCCAGGUGAUGCCCCUCCUGGAGUUUGGCAGGAGCCACAGCCAGGAAGAAGGUCUACAGAAGCCCCAGAGGAUGCUCUCCCUGGCAUUUGGCAGGAGCCACAGCCAAGAAGGUCCAAAGAGGUCCCAGGCGACUCCCAUGUGGGACAGCAGGAGCCAAAGUAUGAGGGAAAAUCCAAAGAAAAACCAGCCUCAGGGGCAGAAGGCCAAGCAACCAAAAGGAAAAAAAGCAUUGGAUUUCCAGCACCAGAAGCCUGCCUCAGGAUGCAGUCCAGUGAAUUGGGACUGCCCAUGGUGUAAAGCCGUGAAUUUUCCAUGGCGCAAGGCCUGCUAUAAAUGCAAGAAAGUCUGUGAGGCAGGUGGGAGUGGAGGCCUGGACCCAGGACAGACUCACUGAUUUCAAGAAGUUUAUAGGUGAGGGCCGGUUUUUAUAUCUCUGAGCCCCACAGAACUUGCUGUUUGUUUAUUGCUGAAGAAGCUGAACUCGUCCCAUUAGAAGAUCUCCCAAGAGUCCAAAGAAAUCACACCUUGAUUCCAGCUGACCCACACCUCAUGGAGACCACCCCCCGCCACUGGCUGGAGCUGAGAAGAGUGAGAGGAAGGCGGGGAAGAGGAGAUGGCAAUGGCGGGUGGAGCCUGGCUGCCUGCUGUAUGGGACAACAGAUGGAGCAGAGAACUGACCCUGCCUCGCUGGCUUCCUCCCUCAGGCCUGGUAACCGGGAGGCCUUGCUUACCAGAAAGGAGCUCUGGGGAGGAAGAGGACCAUCCGGGACAUCAACCUAAAGCUAGGUUUUCUGGGCUAGGGGCUGGUUUUGUGAUACUCUCAUGUGUGCCAAUAGCUCCCUGGAAUUUUGGGAAGAUGAUGCAAAGAUGGGACUCAGGAAUUUUCCAGCAUAAUCCACUUUGAUGUACUAGUGGGUCACUCUAGAUCUCACUAUGGUUGCUUUAUUUAUGGUUUCGAAUGAACUCUGCUGUUUGUUGGCAUGCCUUUAGGUCUGCAUGACAGCAGACUCACCCUGUGCAUAGCUUUUUAUAUAGUUUAAUAUUAUUACAGUCUUUCUGGGUUGACUUUUUCUAAAACAACCUGGAUCAUUAAGGUGGUCAAAUGACUACUUUUUUCUGAGCUGGGUACACACAAAAAAUGGUAGCGGUUUUUGAGGCAAGAACUUGGCCUUUGGGGUUAGAAAGAGACCUGAGUUUAGAUACUUGCUGUGCUAGUCACUAGCUAUGUGGGCUUCAACAAGCAACUGAACUUCCCUGAGCCCCCAGCAAGUGGUAGUUCCUUUCCCUACCCUCAGGGUUCUGCUCUGGGUGCUGUGGUAAUGAGAAUAAGGUAUUAUUAAUGAUGGCAAGAGCUACCAUUAAAUGUUUACUAUGUGCCAGUCACUCUAAGCACAUUGCCCCUUUUGGUGACUGUAAGGUAUGAAUAUAGGUAUAUUAAUAUACAUUAAUAUAUAUUAAUAGUUUUUUAAAUAUUCUAUUCAUUUAUUCAUGAGAGACACACACAGAGAGAAGCAGGGACACAGACAGAGGUAGAAGCAGGCUCCUAAGCGGGGAGCUGGAUGUGGGACUGGAUCCUGGAUUUUGGAUCCCAGGAUCACAACCUGAGCUGAAGGCAGAGGCUCAACUGCUGAGCCACCCAGGUGCCCCUAUAUUAAUAGUUAUUCAAAGUGAGUAUUAUUACCGCCAUUUUGGUAAUGCAAUACCCAAAUUUGGGAAUUGGUGAAGCCUGACUUCAAAAUGAAAUGUAGGGAUGUCUGGGUAGCUCAGUGGUUUGAGCAUCUGGCUUUGGCCCAGGGCAUGAUCCUGGAGUCCCAGGAUCGAGUCCCACAUCGGGCUCCCUGCAUGGAGCCUGCUUCUCCCUCUGCCUAUGUCUCUGCCUCUCUCUGUGUCUCUCAUGAAUAAAUAAAUAAAAUCUAAAAAAAACAAAACAAAAUGAAAUUGUACAGGUUCUAAUGUCUGUUCUCUUUCUGUUAUAUUACAGCACCUUAACCUUUAACCCCUACUGAGUGAUACAUUUGCAUGUUAGCAUAGAUCAUCAAUGCCUAGAACCCAGUGACAUGUUUGUAAUGGAGAGACUUGGAAGCGCAGUGACAGCCCGGUGGUCAUGGUGAUGCUGCUCUUUUAGAAUUUCUCAAGCUUUGUGACAUAUGAGCACCUUGGCUGCCAGUUUGAUUCUUCAUUCUACACUACCUUACAAAAAUAAUUGUGCACAAGGCAGAAACCUGUGAUUACUUUUGUGGUAGGCAGCAUUUAACCUUACCCCAGUGUUUAUAAAAUGAUGACAAAGAGCUCUCUGCGGGUUUCGUCUAUGGAUAAGCUGAUGAUCCAGAUUCCGGACCUGUGAGCCUGAGUGAAUAGACCUUGACUCUGUAGGAGCUUCUAAGAAGUACUAAUCAAUGAGGCCCAGGCUAAAAUGGUAAAUCUGAUCUCACAAGGCAUAUAGAGACAUGCUAUACAGGUCGUUUAAAAAACAAGAACAAAAAUCUUUCCUCUGUUGGGUGAGAUCUGAGGAAACAGCUCUUGCUUCUUGCACACAAAUGAGCUCAGUCCAUUUCCCCUCUGUUUCUCUGGAAAGUACUCUUGGCUUUUGUUUAAAGCACAGUAUGUUAAAGCUGGAAGUGGCCUUAUGGGUCACCUGGUUCAAGUCAACUUGGCAGAUGGAGAAAGUAAGGCUCAGAAAGAGAAAGUGAUUUCAUGGUGGGCUGUUGUCCCUAUGGACUGAAGGAGGAACUGGAUCCCCUUCCCCAUCUUCCUCUUUCAUGUCUGAAAUUCCACCAUUGUGAUGAACUUCUCGGGGCUAAUCAUCUGCCAGCUCAAAAUAUUGAGAGCUCAGGGCGGACUGACUUCUCAAGACCUUAACGUUGACAUAUGCGUUCACUUAUUAGAACGAUUUCUUCCUUGACCCAAAGCAUGAAGGGUGAAAGGUGGACUUGGCCAUAAACAAGUGAGGUAGAAAGAUGAUGAGACAAUCCUGGCUCAAUUCCCCAGAGCGACCCCCAAAUAUCAUCUUGAAUGCUGUUUUAUUUUCUUUGUUUAGCCUUGGUGUUGUAAGAGGCUUAUGUUUACACUUCAUCUACUAAGGUUGAUAGAUUCUAGGGCUGGGCAUGCUUCAAUCAAGAAGGAGAGACAUGGGGAGCCUGGUGGGCUCAGUCAGUAGAGCAUGUGACUCUUGACCUCAGGUCAUGAGUUUGAGCCCCACGUCGGGGGUAGAGUUUACUAAAAAAAAAAAGAAAAAAAGGUGAGUCACUACUAGCUGCCAUGGAAAUUUUAGAAGAUUGUUCUCAACCCUAGUGUGUGGCAAACAAAUAUCUGGCUGUGGUGCAAGGUAGCUCUGUGCACCCGAUCCAUUAGUAGGGCAUGUGAUGAUUUAGAAAUUGUUCUCCCAGUCUUGAGCUCCCAGCCUCACCAUGACUUCAAGGAACUAGGUGUUGAAGUUGUGGAAGAGAUGCAACAGACACCUGGCUUCAGUUAUUUAAAUUUCAGUUUUACAAGUAUUUUACAUAAUUGAAAAGAAAAAUGUAGAAGACCAUCCAGCUUCAAGCAUUAAAGUCUUAUUCCAGUGAAAAAGGGGGAAGUUUUGGGGAAAUAUUACUUAACAGCACAUUUUAAAAUGGAAGCAAUGUUUUAUUUCAGAGAAGAAAAUAAAAAUUGAAAGGCUUUAAAAAAUUAAUGAUAGUUUAGCAUCAACUGGAGGAAAAACACUCUAUUAACGACAGAGGAUAAAAUUAUUGACGCUUGUGAUGUGAUUUAAAGCAACUUUUAUGCCCCAAAUGCUGAAAGGUAGGUCCUGUACAUCAAAGGGCAUAAACAAGUCCACAUAAAGACAAAGCACCGGGAUCCCUGGGUGGUGCAGCGGUUUGGCGCCUGCCUUUGGCCCAGGGCGGGCGAUCCGGGAGACCCUGGAUCGAAUCCCACAUCGGGCUCCCGGUGCACG